rnacentral:lncRNA from 1 species
GCUCCUGAGCUCAAGCUAUCCACUUGCCUCAGCCUCCCAAAUUGCUGAGAUUAGAAGAAUGAGCCACUGUGCCUGUGACUUACUUCUAACCCACAGAAUAGAGCAACAGUGAGAGGAUGUCAAUUCUGUGAUAGAUUGCAAAAUAUUGUAAGUUCCUAGCAGUCUUUCUCAUUGGUUUCAAUAAAAAAAAGCUGCUGUGCUGGAGGGACCCAUGAGGCAAAGAACUGAGAGCAGCCUUUAGCUAACAGCCGGCAAGGAAUGAGGUGCUUGGUCCAGCAAUCACAGAGAAACUGAAUCCUGCUGAUGAUCAUGAGGGUGAGCUUGGAAGCAGAUUCUGUCCCAGAUGAACUUUGAUUGUGUCUUGUUAGAAACCCUGGACCAACUCCUUGAUUGCACCUGUGAGAGGCCCUGAAGCGGAGGGCCCAGCUAAGGUGUGUCUGGAUUUCUGACCCACAGAAACUGAGAUCAUAAAUGUGUGGUUUUAAGCCCGUAAGUUUUGGAAUACAGUAGAUCUUCAUUAUUCACAGAUUUUGCACUUGCAAAUUUGCUUACUCGCUAAAAUUUAUUUGUAUCCCUAAAAUCAGUACUCCAGCACUUUCACAGUCAUUUACGGCAUCUGCAGAGCAGUGAAAAAUUUGAAUUGCCUGAGAUACAUGCUCCCUGCUGAAGUCGCACAAGCUGGCCAAUCCUGCUAAUCCUUUAAAACUCACCUGGAGGGAAGGCCUCCUUCUGCAAAGCCUCUCUUGAUGCAGAUUAUCAGCUUUCACUCUCUACCAGAUGGCAAGGAUAUUGCUGUUGGCUCAUAGGAUGUGAACAGUGGUGUUGAGAUUACCCUCAUUUGGCUGAUGAUGUCAUUGAGGCCCAGAGAAGGUAAGUAAUGUACCAAGGUUACAGACUAGUAAGUGACAGAGAUGGGUUUUGAGCCCCAUUCUUCUACAUUGUGUGCAAUAGCUCAUAUCAAGGUCACUAAAGCUGAAGACUGAAUUAUUUAUUCAAAUACUGCCAUCAUGCACCAAUAUUCUCAACAGGUAGGACACCUGGCAGGGCCUGGCUUUGGGGCUAACUUCUGCAGCUCUUUUGAUUGCCCCCACCUUACAGUUUUUGGCACAGAGCACUGUGUAGCUGGCACUUCUCUACUGGCCCGAAUGAGAAAACUUCCUCAGAGCAAAAUGUCAAGCACCAAAUAAGAUUCAUGUUUACUGUGAAGUGAUUGCUGCUUUUUAAAUGCUUAUCAGAAGCCGAAGGACAAACUCAGUAGGUUGAUUCAUGCUGAGCUCGACUACCUCCGUGAGAAAUGACUCUCCUGUAGGGCUCGAUGACCUUCAUGUCAAUGCGCUGCUCUUGUUCUCCAAUGACCACUGUCCUCCAAAGCCGGUUGUCCUCCCGUUCCUCUUCGGCCGUAUAUUCUGGAAUAGACUCUGACUCUUGGCCAGAAUCUUUGUUGGCUGUGGGAUCUUCUGGAAACAAAGCACAGAGCAAGGCUGAAGGAGCAAGACCUCCACAGUGCAGCUAAACAGCCAAAUGAGUCUCCCGCAAGUCAGGAAAACUGGAUAAAAAGAGGCCUAAAUGUGAGCAAGAGCUAUCAUGUUUGGCUUCAAGUAUGUGAGGAAAAUGAGGCAGAGAAUGAAACAUUUCCAUCUGGAUGACCAAACCGUCAGCUCCUAAAGGGCCGCAGAGGCUGAGGGCGCUGCUGGCAGCCGGCCCUCUGUGGACAUUUGCUGAAUAAACAGAAGAUAUGUG